rnacentral:rRNA from 1 species
UGCCAGCCGCCGCGGUAAUACGAAGGGGGCUAGCGUUGUUCGGAAUCAUUGGGCGUAAAGGGCACGCAGGCGGUUAUGCAAGCCUGGUGUGAAAGACCGCAGCUCAACUGCGGGAACGCGCUGGGAACUGUAUGACUGGAGUUCAAGAGGGGAAGCUGGAAUUCCUGGUGUAGGGGUGAAAUCUGUAGAUAUCAGGAAGAACAUCAGUGGCGAAGGCGAGCUUCUGGCUAUGAACUGACGCUGAGGCGCGAAAGCGUGGGGAGCAAACAGGAUUAGAUA